rnacentral:misc_RNA from 1 species
AACGCACGAGACCUGCGGACCUGCGGAGGGAUCAUUACACAAUACAAUAUGAAGGCUGUCCGCAGCUGGAGUAUUUUAUUACCCUUGUCUUUUGCGCACUUGUUGUUUCCUGGGCGGGUUCGCUCGCCACCAGGACCACCAAAUAAACCUUUUUUAUGCAGUUGCAAUCAGCGUCAGUACAAACAAUGUAAAUCAUUUACAACUUUUAACAACGGAUCUCU